GAUCAUUGUCGAGACCUUUACCCCGCCAGAGUGACCCGCGAAC
rnacentral:rRNA from 1 species